UCAGAAAGAGAGAUGCUGAGAAAGGAGGAAAGAAAGAAAAGAAGAAAAAGGAGAAAAAGGAAAAGGGGAAGAACUAGGAGCAAUUAGGGUUUGAAGAAAAAAUUGAAGAGGUCCUGGAGUUUAGUAGCCGCGUGUGACCUAGCCGGAGGUUCUUCCUUGGUUAUUGGAGACUAGGUAGUGAGUCGAUGCUCUGGUCAUGUAACACUGGGUAGAUUAGGUGUAUUGAACUCAUGUUAUAUUUGCUCAUGUAUUAUGCUAUGACUUGUGAACUUUUGUUGGUUGCUUGUCGUUUUGAGAGGCUCAAAAGCCAAACAUUCUGAUUUUAUCUUAUGUUGAAUUGAGACCAUUAGUCGAUGUAUGAUCAUGGUAUGGGACAUGAAUCAUUAUGAAUCACAUGAGUAUCAUAUUUUCCGCUGUAAA